GAUGUUUAUAUUUUUCUCAAAGAUAUUGGUUUUUCAUGAGAAAAAUACAACACUGUCAAAACAUAUUACAUAAAUAAUUAUGUUGAAAAAUACAUGCCGGCGCGAGAAAACUGGAGAAAACGUGAUUAUUGUUUAGAACGUUAUCCAACUCAUCAAAAUAAAAUAUCCUGUUACAAUCUAGUUCUCUUGAAUAUCGUUCAACCAGGGAGAAACCUGAGAGGGGCCACGCUGCCGUUUUUCGUAAGACGCUUUUUCUAGGCCGUACACUAGCGGCCAUCCAUUUUACAGUCUGCCUGGAACUACAUGGCCACAUCCAUUUUCCGGAAUGGUAAAAGAGCCCUGGUUGGUUCAUGUCCGUGUUACAUCCACAAUUUAUUGAACAGAAAUACGUCUCGCAUAUAGAUAUAAUUUAUAUAGAUACAAUUUACAACAUAUAGAUAUAGAUAAUUUAUAAUACCACCUGUGGAAAGUAAGCGGGCAAUAUAAGAAUAUUACAUAUCAAGAGACACGGUAGUGUCUCGCACCAAGUUCACACGCAACGCGAUAUAGUUUAUAUCACGGGUUGCAGUGAUAUACCGGAAUUCCCUCCAUUAACAGAAACGAGGAAGAAACAAUCAGCACAGCAAAUUUUUUUCAAGAAAUGAGACGUCUGUUAGCUUUGAAGAGAGUAUAGGAACGCAAGCCGUCAUUACAUUGCCAUGUGCUUCGAGUAAGUGCUAAAUGGCAUGAGCAUUAUACAUAAAGCAACACAGAUAUGGCAAUUUGAAUUAUAAAUUCAAAACUGAUGAUAAGCAAGAGUCUUAUGAGACAUUGUCAGAAUCUUCAUCUGCUUCAGAACCAAUUGAGCAACGUAUGAAAAAUUUACAAAUAACUUCAAAGAACCUUUAAAUAGUAUUAUAUAAAUAAACCUAUUAUACCUCACAUGACGAUACUGAAAUGUACAUGAAGAAACAGCAGAUAAUGCAUUAAAUAUAUGACUUAUCAUGUCACGUGAUAGGUCAUAGUAUGUAAAAAAACUUUUAUAAAUAAUAUGUGUUAUAUAUCACCCUUUUUUCAUAUGAAUAUAAGCAUUGUGUCUCUAGCUCCUUUUGAGCUAUAUUUAAUACAGUAUAAGAAACUUCAAAUAUAAUAAGAUCAUAUAACAAAAAAACAUUUAUAUACUAAGACUGAAAAAAUCUCAGUAUACAAAGUACAAAAUACAUAUUCUUUAUAUAAUAACCUAUUGCUUGUGUAUACUACAGCUUGAUUAAAAAUAAGAAA